UGAGGAAUAUUGGUCAAUGGGCGCGAGCCUGAACCAGCCAAGUCGCGUGAGGGAAGACUGCCCUAUGGGUUGUAAACCUCUUUUGUCGGGGAGCAAAGAGACCACGUGUGGUUUUUUGAGAGUACCCGAAGAAAAAGCAUCGGCUAACUCCGUGCCAGCAGCCGCGGUAAUACGGAGGAUGCGAGCGUUAUCCGGAUUUAUUGGGUUUAAAGGGUGCGUAGGCGGAGAUGCAAGUCAGCGGUAAAAUCGUGGGGCUCAACCCCAUCCUGCCGUUGAAACUGUAUCCCUUGAGUGAGUGAGAGGUAUGCGGAAUGCGUGGUGUAGCGGUGAAAUGCAUAGAUAUCACGCAGAACCCCGAUUGCGAAGGCAGCAUACCGGUGCUCAACUGACGCUGAGGCACGAAAGCGUGGGGAUCAAACAGG
rnacentral:rRNA from 1 species